rnacentral:rRNA from 1 species
UACGGAGGGUGCAAGCGUUAUCCGGAUUCACUGGGUUUAAAGGGUGCGUAGGUGGGCAGGUAAGUCAGUGGUGAAAUCUUUGGGCUUAACCCGAAAACUGCCAUUGAUACUAUUUGUCUUGAAUAUUGUGGAGGUCAGCGGAAUAUGUCAUGUAGCGGUGAAAUGCUUAGAUAUGACAUAGAACACCAAUUGCGAAGGCAGCUGGCUACACAUAUAUGGACACUGAUGCACGAAAGCGUGGGGAUCAAACAGG